rnacentral:other from 1 species
GAAUUCCUGGGGUGUUCGAUAAUUCUUACCAGUUUUGAUCCUACAUUUGACGAUUGGGAUUCCAAUAUUUUUAUGCGGAUGUCAGGCCUCCGUUUUCGUUGGUAGACAGAAGUAUAAGUGAGGUUGCCCACCUGGCGCGAGCUAGGAGUCAAUAUGGUAAGAACCGGCAUCUUGGGCUCAAA